rnacentral:lncRNA from 1 species
GUAAGUCACUUUCCUUCUAUCCAUAAAUCUUCCACCAUGUGGCUGUGCUGGAGUCUCUCUGAGCCUACUCUGGCUUGGAAGACUGCCUGAUUUGCUAAUCAUUCUUUGCUCAAAUUAAACUCUGUUAAAUUUAGUUAGUCCAGGGUUUUUUUUUUGUUUGUUUUUUUAAAAUCAAAUCUUCAGUGACUCUUUAUGGUGGUCAAUUAUGGCCAGGAUGGAUAGGAGACUACCAUGCAGAAAAGUAUGAGAGAGACUUGAAAACCAUGCAGUGAUCUUUAAAACCCUCUGAAUAUGUAUUUUCAAAUGCUGCUUUCAUAAGUCAUUAACCAUAAUUUAUUGAAUGUGUACUAUGUGUAUGGCAUUGUACUAGAUCCUUUAUAAACCAUAUAGAAUUUUUAUAGUAACCUUGAAAAGUAUGUGUUAUUAUAUCCACUGUACAUAUUGGGGGGACUGGAGGCUUAGAAAGUGGAAGUCGAGGCUUGCACACACUUAUUAUGAAAGGCCAGCUGGCAUGAUAGUGGUUCACCCUGAACAGCAGAUGGAACUGAUAACAGGCCCAUUAAAUUAUGGGCCAAAUAGUUUGCAACCUUAAGAAAUCCCUGUGAAAUGUUCAUAGAAUAUUAACUUCUUAUCUUAUCAAAGAAAAUUUUAACCCAUUGAAAUAUAAGAUUUGUGUUAGGGUCUGAAUGGCCAACCAUUUUUUUUUUUCUGUAUGUGUUUGAGAAUAAUGUGUUUUGCAAUUUUUACAUGCAGUAUUUUAUAUAAGCUUAUGGUACAGCUUGUUUAUUGUAUAAUUUAAAACUUCCUUGUCCUUACUAACUUUUGUCUGUUUAUUCUAUUGCUAAAAGUGGUAUAGUAAAUACACUACAAUAAUGCAUUUGUCAAUUUAUCUUUAGUUAUGUCACUUUCUGCUUCAUAUAUUUUGAGACCAUGUUAUUAGGUACAUAAAAUAUAAUAAUUAUAUUUUUUUCUGGCAAACUGAAGCUUAUUAUAAAUGACCCUCUUUGUUGCGAGUAAUGCCUUUUGCAUUUACAACUGAUGGAGACAGGACGCAGCCAAAAGUCCCUGGUGAAACCCCGCCUUCAAGCCUAAAACAGCCUGAAGGAUGAAAAACCAGACUUCUGGUGCCUGAUGAAGCCUGCCCUUUCCUGACUGAUUCUAAAUAAUGCCUACCUGCCAACUGGGAAGGCAGGGUGGAGCCUUCGGAAAUUCAUGACCUUCGCAGGGGAGAGGAGCUUGGCCUCUCCUAUUCCUGUGUGGUGACCUGGGAUUCAAACUGUGAGGCGGAAAACCUGCUAGCAGGAGUCUCGCUUUGCUGAGAGUUAUUUUUCUUUUCCUUUUUAUCCAAUAAAUUCCGUCUUCUCACGCUUCUAUGUGUCUGUGACCCUACUCUUUCCUGGUCGUGUGACAAGAGCCUGGUUUUAGCUGACCUAAGAAGAAAGUUCUGCAACAUUUUUGGUGUCCAGACGUGAGUCUUGAGGAAGGACAAGUACAGACAAUCACCAGGAACUAAGGAACAAGAAGCAUCCAACCCUGCAUCUGUGGGUUUCCUGAGGUGACUCUCAAUUGUCAUAGGGGUGAAGAGUGAGUGAGGAAACCCUUGGAGCACUUGUUUGCUUCACAGACAUCCUGACCUCCUUUCAACUGUAAAGACUUAGUCAGAGGACGGCGGCUCCCUCAGCCUCAUUCUGCAGUUCCAAUGACACUUUUUACAAAGGCUCUGUACUUGUCUGAUUCUUAAAUAUUCCAGUUUUUGAACUUUGCUGCAGUAGUUGUAUUCGAAAUGGGUUAAUUGUCUCAUUUUCUUUUUAAUGCCUACUCUUUCAAGGCUCAAAUCUUGAAUAGGUCAAAAAGAGCAAGAGGAAAAUGUCAGAGAAUGGAGAAAGGCAAAUACAGAGAAGCAGUGUGAACAUCCACCCGGCGAGGGUUUCACAGAGCCAAGCAGAAAAGGAGCACAGGUGACCUUGGCAGGAAGGCAUGCAUGGGAGAGCAGGUCUGCACUCUGGGACACCAGCCUCAACAGAAUACGAGUUUUGAAUUUUUGAAUUGCUGUUAAAACUUUCAUCAUGAACACUGAAGUGAGUGAAAAGAGACUUUUGCAGUCAUUUUUUUGCUGGCUGCAGAUGACAGUGACACCCUGGGAGUUGAGAAAUGCUUGUAAGAUGGAAGGAGGCUGUGUCCCUGAAUGAUCACCUGGAAGAGAGCCACCUUAGCCAAUGAAACUCCUGCUAUGAAUGUUUGCUGAGCAAGAAAUAUACUUACUGCUUUAUAUGCCUUUGAAGCUAUAGGUUCAUAUUGUUACCACAAUUUAAAGUGCUAUAAUAAAAAGAGUUCAGGAAGCAGGCACAUGGAAGCAAUAAGAGCAACAAACAUUUACACAGGACAGAGAUCAUGGAAGUUGGGCCCGACUGGAUGAGAUUUGGGGGUCUUUGGAAGUGGAGAAUGUGUUUGCCCUGGGGAAGAGAGGUGAUGUCUAGGAGACCUCUUCACUCAGGGCAAGCUCUAUGACCUGCUUUGACUCCAGAAUGUGGUAGAAGUGGCAUCACAUAAAUUGCAGAGCCUAGGCUUCAAGAGACCUUGCAACUUGCCUCUCACUGACUUGAAGUGCUCCCAUCAGAGCAUCUUGUAAGGAGCAGGUGGAGCAUGUGGACAAGCCAUCCCCACCAGCCCCUGAGACAUGUGAGAGAGGCCAGAACAGGCCAUCCGGACCCCACUGUGCUGGUGGAUGAGACAGCAGAAGGAAUAUCAACCUACCAACAGAAUCCUGAGAAAUGCUCACUCUUACUUCAAGCUGCUGCAUUUUGAUGUUAUGAAACCAUAAAUAACUUAUGAAGUCAUCUUUGCUGACUUAAAGUUUUCCAUAACUUUAUUAUAACAUAUCAAAAUUAUGAAAAAUGUGAAAAGUAGAAAACUGAUGAAUUUUGCUUCUUCAUAUGGUCUUUAAGAAUCUCAAAGGCACUGAAGUUUUUUAUCUUUUCUGUCUUAGAAUAAAAAACCUUGAAUGAAAAUCUGCUUCUUGGAAAAGCAGCAAGGUUUAUGCAGAGGCAAUCUGGUAUUUGUGUGCACUGGCAGCUGAUCAUACCCAGCAUGCACGCACUCUCAGGGCAGAGUCUGAUGCCCCACAUAAUGGGGCAUGGUAAGGACUCCCAUGUCCUUGAGAUAAAAUGAUAAGGAAAAUACACACUGCUAUUAGAAUAACAGGCCCAGCUUCUGCACAUUUUAAUUCCCAAAGUUUUCAUGAAAGACAAUGAUUUUUUGGUACCAUGUUUAACUCUACAAGAAUCAGUAGUGAAAACUAAAAAUGAUACUUUGUGAAAGUUCAUUAAUUUUGUUUUCAGCCAGUGGUGGCCUUGGUCAGAUAGAAUCAAAUCUAUGAUACUUUUUAUCAGAAAUGCUUAUACUGUGUACAAACCCAAAGUGAUGGCUUUCAAAGAUUGAAUUUGAUUAUUUUCUGUAUGGUGCAGAUGAAAAAUUACUACACAGGAGAAGGUGGGUUGGAGGUGCUCACGAGUAACCAGGAAACAGUCUGAAGUUUUUCUGAUACUUCUCCUUGGUCCAACCAAAUGUGAGAUAUAAACACAAACUUGGGAUUCCGUUCUUAUGUUUUGGUUGUUUCAGUCUUUACAGAUGUAUCGAAAGGCUGUCCAAAAAUGUCUGACUUCUGUAGUGUGCCUUCGUAGCACUAGAGGGUUCUGCAGCUGUGAAACUGAAGGCAUUGGCAAGAAGCCCUCCAUCUUCAAACCACUUUCUGCUAAGGUGUGGCUCUAUAAAACCACUAUGAGCUGGGCUUCACUGAGACUGAGUUGUUUCAGUAGGAUCUUCCGGAAAAACAUGUUCCCUCCUUUACCUGGGUUGUCAUUCUGAGAACAAUCACACCUCCAAUUUUGGCUUACUAAGCAAUAGCGUUUUAAUGAUUUUAAGCCAGGAUUUGCUCCUCCUUUCCUCAGUAUGAGAGCUUAACCACUGGAGGAACCAAGAAUUCAUGCUGGUUGGGUUCUGAUUCCACUUUAACUUACUGUAUAGCCUCAUCCCUUGUUUUUCUGGAGAUUCUCUUUUUCUGCUUCACUGAUUUAUAUUUACAUUAAAAUCAAAUGAGGCCAUGUUUCUGAAAUCACAUUGUCCCUACAUGGUCAUUACAAUGAGUCUGUAAUGUGACUGAAAGACAGCCAUGGAUACAGGUAGAGGAUAUCAGGCAAUUGAAUGCUCAUCAAGCAUUCAAUUCAGGGCAAAUGGCAUAAGGUAUGCAGUUGGCCUCUUCUGAUAUCUGUGUCUUAAUCCUUUCUUUAGCCUCUGUUUUCUGGACCAAGGCUAAGAUAUUUUCUGGGCACAGUGGCUCAUGCCUAUAAUCCCAGCACUCUGGGAGGCCAAGGUGGGAGGAUUUCUUCAGCCCAGGAGUUCGAGACCAGCCUGGGGAACAUAGGAGACCUCAUUCCUACAAAUAAUAAAAAAAAUUAGCCAGCUCUGGUGGCGUGUGCUUAUUGGUCUCAGCUACUUGGGAGGCUGAGGUGGGAGGACUGCUUGAGCCCAGAAGAUCGCAGCUGCAUUGAGCCAUGAUUGUGCCACUGAACCCUAGCCUGAGCAACAGAGCAAGGCCUUAUCUCAAAAAAAAAAAAAAAUUCUGAGCCUUCUAAUUUUUUUUUUCUUUAAUUAACUUUCUGUAAGCCCAGCAAGUAAAUAAAACACUUAUUUUAUGAAGCAUCUAGUUGCUUUUAGGGGAAGGGACAUCCUCCGCAUAGUAUCUAGGCCAGCUCACUUUCUUCUCCUUACUGUUGAUUUACUCUCUGCCAUUGAAUCUUCUGUGCCAAUGUUGGAUUAAUGUUUCCGGGCCCUACUUUCAUCAUGCUCCUCUGUAUUAUCACCUGUUUUGGUUUACAGCAAUGAUUUUUAAGGUAAGGCAUGGUGUGUCCAUCAUAGUCACAUGGGAACUUUUUCAAGCCAUAUUAAAAAUGUCCCCCAUUCAUCAUUCUGCCCCUGGAACAGUGUGUGCAGUUGGGACCUUCAAGUAAAUCUACUUUGUUGAAACCCACUGAUCAGCAUGGUGUAUUUCAUAACUCUUUGACUUACAUUCAAGAAAUUCCUUAACCUGAACUCCAUUUUACUCUUUUUUUCAUUCAUUCAAAUUAAGAAUAUUGCCUGAACAUGAAUUAUCUGCUAGACGUUUUUCUAGGUGCAGGAGGAGUAAGGAUGAACAUAACUAGCCAUAACUAUAGCUAUCAAUUGUGGAGUGUCUGUUAUGUGCCAGGCACUUUUAAGUGACCUACUCGAUUUACUUGCAUGACAAACUGUGAGGAAAAGCCCAAUAUUAUCCCCUAUUAACAGAUGAGGAAACUGAAGCACAAACAGCAUGAAUAGUUUGUUCCAGAUUGCAUCAUAAGAGGCACAGCCAGCUUUCCUACCAAAGCAGCCCUGGCCCAGAGUCCGUACUCCCUCCUCCCCUGCCUCUGCCUGGUGGAUAAGGUCACCCUGGCCUUGUGGAACUUAUGCUCUAGUGGGGACAAAUAGUUAUAGAGAAUGACCGAUGUUACUAAGAAAAUAAAAGCUGGUAAGAAAACAGAAGCACUGAGGAGGUGACUGAAGUGAGCAUUUAUAAUUUUAUGUUAUAUCCAUUGUAAAAUAUAAGUUUAGCUUUCUCAUACCAGAAGCAGGGCUCAGUCCACCCUUGACUCAGUUUCCAAUACUGUUCCCCAUCAGAAUGGCUCUUGCUGGUGGCCAGAAGUAAAACUUAGAAAUAUCUCUCUCAGAGACACCUAAGCAGGCUGGGCUCCCCGGUUUCCUGUUGCUUCCUUUAAAGAAGCUCUUCAGACAUCUGCACAAGAACUCAAAGUGACCACCUCUCAGCCCAGCAUGACCUACUGGAACUAAUGCCUGCUUGCUUUCAACCUACCAAUUAAAGCUCCCCAGGAAACCUGUUUAGAUAACACCCUGGACCCAAGAAAGGUGCUGGGCCAUGGGUUUCUUCUCUCUCUCCCUAUCUGUGCUCCCUGACCCCCUGUGUGUGUGUGGUCUCUAGGCUUGCCUUCUAUCCCUGAGGGUCUGUAAAUACUAAAAACACUUAAACUUUCAUAUUGUAGUUGUGUCUUUGAAGCCAGGUCCCCAUCCCGUACCUUGAGGGCAAGGCCUCCUGGAAGGGACCCAUGUAGGUGGAUCCCCUGCUGUCCAGGCCUCUUAGCUGCUGGGGUAGUGACCAGUUAAGUGGAUAGAGUUUCAUUCAAAACAAUAAUCAUUCAACUGUAUCUCACAUCAAACCUCUGCUCUAGUUUAUGUAUCUACUUUAUGUUCUUAGAAGACUGUGCAAACACAUUGUCUUUUUUGAGUACCUGUCUUGUCCUAGGUACUCUGCUUGGUACGGGGAGAGACGAAUCUUCUGUCUUCAGGGGCUUCCACUCCAGCAGGGAGAACAUGACUAAUAGUGACUGCCUGCUGCUGUAGGUAAUAAGUGGCUCCCACUAGGCCCUCCAUUUGGUGGCCCCCUGUCCCUCUCACUGGUGGAAGCCUACCUGUCCUCUAAGGACCAGCUCACUAAUGUCCUAGAUCCUCACGGACCAGAUUGCUUUUCUCAGAACUGAAGAGCACUUACUAAUGGCACCUCUUGUCAUAUGCCAUCCCAGGAUUUGAAUUUUUUUUUUUUUUCUGUCUUGUGGCCCAAAUAAAUCCUGAACUCCUCGAGGGCUGGGAGUGUAUCUAGCAGUUUCCUUAUACUGGACUAAUCAGAUGCUGACUAGGUAGCAGUGAGAAAAAUCUAGAAAUUCCCUUUUAGCCACAUCGACUUACACGAGGGGAUGUGUGUAAGGUACUAUAGCUCUUUAAACAAGAGGUGGUCUCGUUUGAAGGGUGGAUUGAUGUGGGUGUUCAAAUGAUGUCACAAGUGGCUGGUUUCUCUGUCUCCAUUUCUUUUUUUUUUGGCUCCAUUUCCAAAUUUCCCAGAUAGCACAGCAAGUUGGCCCCAGCAGCUCUAGACACUCCAUCUUCUCAGGGCAUAGCCAACACAAUAAAAUAUUUCAAGUUCCUGAAAGAUAGCUGAAAUAAGCCCUAGAAGUUUCUGGAUUGGGAGCAGAGCCAAACCUGCCAGCUCACAUAGAUGAGGGCAGGGAAUAGGGUGUCUCACGAUCACAGUGUCCUGCCUUCUGAUUUGCCUGGGACUGUCCUGUUUUGGCACCAAAAAUAUCUGCAUCCUAGGAAACCCUCAGGUCCUGGGCAAAUUCAGACAGUGACUUGCCCUAUCAGAAGCAAAGCAAGGUGCCAUUACCUGAGGUGGGCAAAUUCAGACAGUGACUUGCCCUAUCAGAAGCAAAGCAAGGUUGCCAUUACCUGAGGUGGGCAAAUGGAGGCUGGGUGGCCAGUGAGUGACCAAUAACCCCAGCAUUGGAGAGAGUGGAGCAGCCCUUCAAGAAGUUCCAACCUCUGCCCAGGACUGGUUUUACCAACUUCACUAGGCUUAGAAUCGUAGGAAGUCUAUUUGGGACUUGCGAGUCUCACGUAUUCCUGCCUAAAUGUUUAUGGAUACCUGUUUAGAGCUGAAAUCUUUUCAGCUCCCAUAAUAUGAGGGAAUUAGGUCUCAAAGAAGAUCAUGUAUUUUGAUCAGACCUUAUAGCUGAGCAGUGGAAAGAAAAAAAAUCAGUGUGAGAUCUCCCAGGGUUCCGCAGGAGUGGCUUCCUUAGUCCAACUGGCAGCCUAUCCUGGAAUAUUGCCUGGGAGAGAGGUUAGUUGCUUUUCCUGGUGCUAGGAACUGAAUGGUUUUACAUAUUGAUCAAUGAAAAUACUUAUUUGGCCUACAAUAGGUGCAAAAAUACUGCUAAUUACUAACAGUAUCUCUUCUUUGCUGCGUGCCAGACACUCCACUGGGCAUUAUGCAGUUAAUAUGUACCAUGAAUUUCCCGUGGUUAGCAAUGAUGUCAGGCAUAGAAAAGACAUGAAAUUAUGAUGUCAAAUGAAUAAACUGGAAAAAGGAAUUUCUUGAAUUUUCUCCAGCUGUCCUAAGAAUGUAUCUAUACUUUGAUCCUGGCCUACCUUUUCAACAUCUAAACUUUAUUCCCCCAAGCUUCUAGAUAUUCAAAGUUAAGUAUUAAAUAAAAUCAGUAAAUAUAUACAAGCUUGUUUGGCCAUUCUGAAUAAGGUUAUAUUUCCACCACACAAUCUCCAAAUUCUCUAGCAGAAGGGAUCAGUAUGUUAUAGAUACCCCCUUUCCUUCCCUCCCUGGCAAGCCACCACAUCUGUUAUGGGUACUCAAUGCAGUGGCUGCACCUGGGCCUCACUCAUUAAGCAGUUGUUGAUUGAGUGACUGAAUUGAAUGCCUGAUGAGCUCGCAAGUAAGAUUCAGACUGUGCCUGCAAACUAAUAGGAUCCCUCCGCUUUUUAUUCACUACUGCUGAGGUAGAUCUCAGGCCAGCCUGAAGUUUAGGUCUACUGAGAAAUAAUAAGCCUCAAAAAUCGAGCUUUGCUUCACCCAGUCUCCCAGUAAACACUAAGAAAUGUUCACAUUAUUUACACAUCCUAGACUGCCUGUCUUAUGGACCAAAUGUUUGUGUUCUCCCCGCAAUUUAUACAUUGGAAUCCUAACCCUCAAUGUAAUAGCAUUAGGUGCUGGGGUCUUUGGGAGGUGAUUGGCUAAUGGACCUGGAGCCCUCAUGAUGGGAUGAGUCCCCUUAUCAGAAGAGACCUGAGAAGGCUUGCUUCCUCUCCCUGUGCUCUUCAUGAUGUGAAGACACAAGAAGACAGCCAUCUGUGGGCCAGGAAGAGGUCCUCACUGGAACCCAACCAUGCUGGCACCCCAAUCUUGAAUUUCUAGCUUCAAGAACUUGGGAAAUAAAUGUAAGCCAGCCAGCUUAUGGAUUUGUUACAGCAGCCUAAGCUAAGUCAGAGUCUCUAGAACAGCUGGUCUGGGGCAGCGGUGAAGGGAGGUGGGUGGGCAUAUGACCCUGCCCUGCACAUGAAUGGCAAAGGCAACUGGAGAGCCUCUCCCUUUUGGUGAGAUCCCCAGUCCACAAGGGCAUGUUCAUCCAUAGCUUUACUUCCCGAAGCAAAUUCUGGUUCCUGGGGCCUGUGCCUCCAUAGAUGGCAUGAUCUGCAGCCUCCUGUGGUAAUUUACCCUCUUCCUAAAUUUCUGAGUCUUCACAUUUAAGCAAUCCUAGUUAGAUAUCCUCUACCUGUAUCCAUGGCUGUCUUUCAGUCACAUUACAGACUCAUUGUGAUGACCAUGUAGGGACAAUGUGAUUUCAGAAACAUGGCCUCAUUUGAUUUUAAUGUAAAUAUAAAUCAGUGAAGCAGAAAAAGAGAAUCUCCAGAAAAACAAGGGAUGAGGCUGUACAGCAAGUUAAAGUGGAAUCAGAACCCAACUGUAGUCCAUUAUUUGUUUCAAUCCUGCUCUUUUCUACCAUAUCACCCAGUUUCCAAAUCGUUCAGCAAAUUGCCAUGGUCAAUGGGAUUAACCUUUCCCUUUUAUUCUCAGGAAAUCUCCCUUGUCCAUUUUGCAAGACUGUGUGAUUCUUUCUACUGUUACAAGGAAUAAAAGCCUUCCUAAAAAGGUCUUUGGUGCCUUUAUUAUUUUACGGAUCAUUUCUGAGGGAAUUAUUGAACUUCAUUAUGUAACCACCCCUUGGGUUCACCUUGCCCACUGCCUAGACAGAGCCAAUUUAUCCAGACAGGAGAAUUGCAAUGGAGAAAGAGUAAUUC